rnacentral:rRNA from 1 species
UACGGGGGGAGCAAGCGUUGUUCGGAUUUACUGGGCGUAAAGGGCGCGUAGGCGGUCAGCACAAGUCAGUUGUGAAAUCUCCGGGCUUAACUCGGAAAGGUCAACUGAUACUGUGCGACUAGAGUGCAGAAGGGGCAACUGGAAUUCUCGGUGUAGCGGUGAAAUGCGUAGAUAUCGAGAGGAACACCUGCGGCGAAGGCGGGUUGCUGGGCUGACACUGACGCUGAGGCGCGAAAGCGUGGGGAGCGAACCGG